CUGGAUGUGGCAAACAUUAAUGGAUUAAUGAGCGGGUUCUUUCAAGCUUUGGAGCUGUGAGCAGACCAUUGUCAAGAAGACUGUAGGACUUUCCUUCUGAUUCACUGUUGUUGACAUCAGUAAUGCAAAUGUAUGAUAAGUGGGAGUUUAAAAUAUUUUCAUUAAGUUGUAUAUUUUUACAUAUCAGUGAGAUAUGUAUAGUAGAAAUGGAAAAGAAAAAGUUUCAAAAACAAGCUUGAAGAAAUGCUGCAGCUUCAGAAGAAAGCUAAGCAGCGUUCUUUAUGGUUGUGCCACCCACACGAGGGAGGAGGUUGACAUCUUUAUAGAAACAUCGUCCACUGU
rnacentral:lncRNA from 1 species